AUCCUUUUCCAGUUCAUAAGCAUGAUGAUUGGGUGUUCACAUGUUUGUGUGACAUGUACCUUCCUUAAAUCUCGUUAUGCAUUUGGCACAUUACCCAUCUGAUA